UACGUAGGGGGCGAGCGUUGUCCGGAAUUAUUGGGCGUAAAGAGCGUGUAGGCGGUCCGGUAAGUCAGCUGUGAAAGUCAAGGGCUCAACCCUUGAAAGCCGGUUGAUACUGUCGGGCUAGAGUCCGGAAGAGGCGAGUGGAAUUCCCGGUGUAGCGGUGAAAUGCGCAGAUAUCGGGAGGAACACCAAUGGCGAAGGCAGCUCGCUGGGACGGUACUGACGCUGAGACGCGAAAGCGUGGGGAGCAAACAGGGAU
rnacentral:rRNA from 1 species